GUUCUACUUUCAUCAUCUGGAAUUACUUGUCAGACAAAUGGAUGUAUCUAGACGUAUUUUAAUUCUAGAUACAUCCAUUUUUAUGCAUUUCUACGACAAGUAAUUUCGGAUGAGGGAAGGAGUAU
rfam:Triticum aestivum genome assembly, contig: Triticum_aestivum_CS42_TGACv1_scaffold_577478_7BL